GGAACUGCUGUUUAUGAUGAUAGUUAUAAUCCAGAUAAGUAUGAUGCUCACGCAGCUAAUCAACCAGAACUUGAUAAUGGUCACGGGGCUCACGCAGUUUAUCAACCAGAACUUGAUAAUGGUCACGGGGCUUAUAAUCAAGCUAAACAAGAUUGUCACCGUAAAUGCAUGGAAAUAAUUGCGCAUAUAG